rnacentral:tRNA from 1 species
UUUCUGAUAGCUCAAUUGGUUAGAGCGAUUGGCUGUUAACUAAUUAGUUGUAGGUUCGAGUCCUAUUCAGAAAU